rnacentral:misc_RNA from 1 species
AAAAAAAGAAAAUUAAGAAAAAAGUUGCAUGGUAUUAAUGAAUUAUGUAGUAGCAGAUUCAUAUACCGAUCCCUUGUAAGAUUCCUUAUGUUUCGGUAAGCAAAUAUGUAGUACAUAAUAUACAUCAAUAUUUUUAAUACUAUAGACAACAGAUUAAUCAAGAAAAUUUCUGGAAAUGCAAAAAACUGAACUCAUCAAUGCAUUUAAAUUCCAAUUGCAUCAAGAAGCUGGGAGUGUUGAGACACUGAAACCAGUGAGUUAGCGACAAUAGCACCGCUAGCUGCAACUGCAGGGACGCCAAUGCCAGGAAAAGUAGAAUCUCCACAGCAGUAAAGCUGUGAUAUGGGAGUUGAAUGUCCAGGAAAAGUAUCUUUCCCAGCCUCUAUAGCCGGCCCAUAUGUUCCUCUGUUCCUCCGAAGAAAUCUUUGAUGUGUCAAUGGAGUUCCAACCAACUUCACCUCACACUUGUCACGACUGAAGCAUGGACCAAGGGCACGCUCAACUGCCUUCCACAUUACCUGUCAUAUCAGAAAAUCUGUAACGAACAAUUUCACUAAAGAAAAGUAUGAAUAUGGAUCAUUGAGUCACUAAAUUAUAUUUAAAAAAUCAGGACUACACACAAUGAGCAACAACAGAUCACUUGUGACUUGUCAUACAAUCAACAAGAGUAGCUAGCUGCACCUGUAGGCUUAGCCAAGUGGCAGGUGCAUUCUCAACUUGGAGAAGAGUAGCUAGCCUCUAACAACAGUGGCUCAAAUUGUUUUUCUUCUAACUCUCAAUGAAUCACCUUAGCAUUCUAUUCCCCCAAUCCACUUAGAUAAGUCAAACUCAUACAUACCUCUGAUCGUUCAGCUUUGAGUUGCUUGUACUCCUCACUUCUACGGUCAAGUCCUUUCCAUAAUUCAAAUGGCUCGGUUCCCGGUGUAUAAGCAUGUAAGAUAUGUUUCCCAGGGGGUGCCAAAUCUGGACUAAGUACACUAGGAACAGAUAUUAAAACAACAUUCUGAUCCGCAUCAACUCCUCUAUCCCAGUCAUUCACAACUAUAUGAUGAAUCCCCAAGUCCUCACGUAUGCCCUCAGCAGCAAAGCCCAAAUGGAGAUGCAUGAAUGAUUCACACUGUGGCGUUGUGUUAAUCCUGUCAACAUAUGACUUCGGAAGAACUUCUCUGGGUAAGAGAUUUAAAGUAUCCCACAUAGAUGCGUUGCUGAUGACAGCCUUUCUAGCACGUAUAAAUUGACCACUUUUCAGCUUGAUUCCAACGGCUCUAUUGUUUUCAACAACAAUCUUUUCUACAUGGCUUUUUAAAGAAAGCCGUCCACCAAACUUCUGCAAUCCUCGGACAAGAGCAUCAACAACAGCCCCACUUCCAUGAAGAGGGUACUCAAGAGAGCAACCUGGCUUAUACCAUUCUGCAAACAUGUAAAUCAU